GUCGAGAAUUUUUCACAAUGGGCGAAAGCCUGAUGGAGCGACGCCGCGUGGGGGAUGAAGGGCUUCGGCUUGUAAACCCCUGUCAUUUGCGAACAAAGGCGCCGGCCUAAUACGUUGUCGCCUGAUAGUAGCAGAAGAGGAAGGGACGGCUAACUCUGUGCCAGCAGCCGCGGUAAUACAGAGGUCCCAAGCGUUGUUCGGAUUCACUGGGCGUAAAGGGUGCGUAGGUGGUGGAUUAAGUCGGGUGUGAAAUCUCCGGGCUCAACCCGGAGCGUGCGCCCGAAACUGGUUCGCUGGAGGAUGGGAGGGGAGACUGGAAUUCUCGGUGUAGCAGUGAAAUGCGUAGAUAUCGAGAGGAACACCGGUGGCGAAGGCGAGUCUCUGGACCAUUCCUGACACUGAGGCACGAAAGCCGGGGGAGCAAACAGGAUUAGAAACCCUUGUAGUCC
rnacentral:rRNA from 1 species